rnacentral:rRNA from 1 species
AGCGGGAGAGCUCAAAUUUGAAAUCUGGCAGUCUUCGAUUGUCCGAGUUGUAAUCUAUAGAGGCGUUUUCCGUGCCGGACCGUGUCCAAGUCUCCUGGAAAGGAGUAUCAAAGAGGGUGAUAAUCCCGUACUUAACACGACCACCGGUGCUCUGUGAUACGUCUUCUACGAGUCGAGUUGUUUGGGAAUGCAGCUCAAAAUGGGUGGUGAAUUCCAUCUAAAGCUAAAUAUUGGCGAGAGACCGAUAGCGAACAAGUACCGUGAGGGAAAGAUGAAAAGCACUUUGGAAAGAGAGUUAAACAGUACGUGAAAUUGUUGAAAGGGAAACGAUUGAAGUCAGUCGUGUUCUUUGGAUUCAGCCAGUUCUGCUGGUCUACUUCCUUUGAACGGGUCAACAUCAGUUUUGUCCGGUGGAUAAAGGCAGUAGGAAUGUAGCUUCUCCGGAAGUGUUAUAGCCUAUUGUCACAUACACUGGGUGAGACUGAGGACUGCAGCUCGCCUUUAUGGCCGACCUUCGGGUACGUUCGAGCUUAGGAUGUUGACAUAAUGGCUUUAAACGACUCGUCUUG